rfam:Gossypium hirsutum cultivar TM-1 chromosome 19, whole genome shotgun sequence
UGUUAAAAAUUUCAUCUAUUUAUACUAUUAAAUAUUAGCAUAAUUGAUGGAAUAAUCAUACAUUAACACUUGACGUAUCAUGUGUACCUCAUGCUGACUUAUAGAGAUCGUUUUUUAACAAUAAAAAUUGAUGAAAUAUUUAACA